GUGGAUUAUGAAUGGAGAGAAAGUUAGCACUUCCCUCGAUAAGAAGGAAGGAAGCCGAGCAGUUGUGAGGUGAACACAUGAUUAAGAUAUUUCCGUCUACUUAGUGGCAGCUAACCAUUUUUGU